rnacentral:rRNA from 1 species
AGCGAACGCUGGCGGCAGGCUUAACACAUGCAAGUCGAACGCCCCGCAAGGGGAGUGGCAGACGGGUGAGUAACACGUGGGAACGUACCCUUUGGUUCGGAAUAACUUGGGGAAACUCAAGCUAAUACCGGAUAAGCCCUUUUGGGGAAAGGUUUACUGCCGAAGGAUCGGCCCGCGUCUGAUUAGCUAGUUGGUGAGGUAACGGCUCACCAAGGCGACGAUCAGUAGCUGGUCUGAGAGGAUGACCAGCCACACUGGGACUGAGACACGGCCCAGACUCCUACGGGAGGCAGCAGUGGGGAAUAUUGGACAAUGGGGGCAACCCUGAUCCAGCCAUGCCGCGUGAGUGAUGAAGGCCUUAGGGUUGUAAAGCUCUUUUACCCGGGACGAUAAUGACUGUACCGGGAGAAUAAGCCCCGGCUAACUUCGUGCCAGCAGCCGCGGUAA